GAUGGGAGCAUAAAGACAAGAAAGCAGCUCUUGAUGCUCUUGAGAAGUACCAAGAAGAAGCUCGCAAAUCUAGGACAGGAAUCUGGCAGUACGGAGACAUUCAGUCUGAUGAUGAGGACAGUGUUCCAGUCAGGAAACCUGGUCGCGGGUAAGUGUUGUUUCCAACCUUUAUGAUCGAUCAAUGGUUGGUUCCCAAAGAGGGGGAUCUUCAACCUUUGUUCAAGAUUGUUGCUUUGCAAAGCAUCAAACUUUUUGUAAUGUUUAGAAAUUCUCUUUUUUUUUUUUUUUUUUUUACUUUUUUGGUUUAUUAUAAGGUGACUGAUGGUUUCGUUCCUUAUUCUUGUUUUGACUAAAGAAUCUCAUAAUAAGGUGAUGUAACUUUAAGUCCGACAGGGACUUUUCAUAUGCUCUCUAAUGUUUUAAUUGGAAGUGUGCGCUUCAUACGCUUUCCUCCAAAAUUCAUCUUCUCCAGAAUGAUUGGCUCUGAGCAAGUUGGAUUACUAAAUUUUGGAGCGUCUCAGAUCUAAACCCAUGAAAGAUACACAGAGCUUACUACAUUAGUGUAUAAACAUGAAGUCUCGAAAGAGUUGCACACGUCAGUUAUGGCUCAAGAAUGUACUCUGCUUUUGUGUUCUUGCUAAGGCCAUGGUUUGAGCUUGUACAAUCUUUUGAGGCUUCGUUACUCCGACGACAAUAGUUACAAAUGGCAACUAAGUAAGCAUCAUGGGAAUUAAACCGAGUUCAGUGAAUAGAUGACUUCUCAACUCGAAUAACUCUACAAUGGCAAAUGUAUCCACCCCAAUUUGUGAGAAACUAAACAAAGAAGUAACAGAAACUACAAUUUAGCUAA